AACGAACGCUGGCGGCAUGCCUAACACAUGCAAGUCGAACGAGACCUUCGGGUCUAGUGGCGCACGGGUGCGUAACGCGUGGGAACCUGCCCUUAGGUUCGGAAUAACUCCCCGAAAGGGGUGCUAAUACCGGAUAAUGUCUUCGGACCAAAGAUUUAUCGCCUUUGGAUGGGCCCGCGUUGGAUUAGCUAGUUGGUAGGGUAAAAGCCUACCAAGGCGACGAUCCAUAGCUGGUCUGAGAGGAUGAUCAGCCACACUGGGACUGAGACACGGCCCAGACUCCUACGGGAGGCAGCAGUGGGGAAUAAUGGACAAUGGGCGAAAGCCUGAUCCAGCAAUGCCGCGUGAGUGAUGAAGGCCUUAGGGUUGUAAAGCUCUUUUACCCGGGAUGAUAAUGACGGUACCGGGAGAAUAAGCUCCGGCUAACUCCGUG
rnacentral:rRNA from 1 species